CUCCCGUAGCAAAGUGGCAAUGCGUCGUGCUUAUAGGAACGCGAAGGUCGCGAGUUCGAUCCUCGCCGGGAGCA